AUGGUAUCAAUCUUGUCAUCUAAAUCUCGACAAGAAAACAAAUAAGUCUAUUUCUCGUAAUGUUGAACUAUUCCUUUAAAAUGAGGGGGACUAAACAGAAUAGAAAACACAUGCAAAUAAUGUGUAGGAUAUGUAGAGCUAUAAAACACUAUUCAAAUAUCUAGGUGGACCAUGAAAUUGUGUAUAAUUUUUAGCUCUCCCACCGUCUUACCCUAACAGAUGUAUUCAGACGGCUCACUGUGCUGCUCUCACUGGUCUGUCUCUGAAACCCUUUCACUACUUACAGUUUUGGAAGGUCGAUGAAAGUCUUGGCCUCAUGAGGUCAAUCUUGAGUGGAUACAAUAUGUGAUUACUGGUUUGCUCAGCCUUGACAUGCUCUCUAAUACUGUUUCGUCUUCAGUCCAUCUUUACUGUUGUCAUGGAAGAAAUUCCCACUUCUCCACUGAAGAACACAGUUUUCAUUUGAUUUACACCAAUUUUAAGAAACUGGGAAAAUAGGGGCCAGUAACAACCCUUGACAAGAGAAAAUACUCAUCUGAGCAGAAAAGCUGACACUAGAUUAAACUAGACCACUAUGAUUAAAAUAGCUGAAGAGAAACAGGACAACCUUGGCAUCGCGCACCACAGAAUAAAGUGUCCUGCCUUUACACAAGCUGAGAGAGGGAAAAAGACAAGGACAAGAUUUUAAGUUACUGCGUUGACUUAUGUAAUAACUUCAAAACACUUGACAAACAUUACAGGUCAACACUGAUCACAUUCCAUCUUUUGCAAUUCAUUUUUUCUUGUUCGAACAAAUAAAGAAUGACAUUAAACCUGAGUUUGCCACUAACCACAGUAGUCUACUUGUACAAUCAUUUACUGUUGCUCUAAUCCAAUGUACAUUUGUGUAAUGAUUUUCUCAUUAAAGUGCCCUUGUUUUCCCACAGUUAGCAAAGUGAGGGAUCCCAAAGAAGUUAAAAAUGAGCACCCCUCUUCCACUACUGCCCUACAAACUUAAAUUGUGCAGCAUCAAGUUAGGCUUGAAUUUUGCUUAAAGCUUUUCAGUUUGCCACUGCCUUUUGAUAAAUUAAAUUUGGGACUUUCAUCCAUAUCUCGCACUGUAACUGCACUAUAAUAUUGAUUCUUCUGUUUAUUCUAUUCUGUUCCAUUUUAGCUGUUUUUUUAUUAUCUUCUAUCUGAUUUUAGUCUUUUUAAAUCCUAUUUGUGUCUCUUUAUAUUCCCUUUUGCUUCUUUUUAUAUCUUGUCAUAAGGAAAGAUAU